rnacentral:sRNA from 1 species
GUGCUUUCCCCGCCGCGGCGAUGCCAGGGCCUUCGCCAGGGCUGCGCCGGGCGCUACUCGGCCUCUGGGCUGCUCUGGGCCUGGGGCUCUUCGGCCUCUCAGCGGUCUCGCAGGAGCCCUUCUGGGCGGACCUGCAGCCUCGCGUGGCGUUCGUGGAGCGCGGGGGCUCGCUGUGGCUGAAUUGCAGCACCAACUGCCCUCGGCCGGAGCGCGGUGGCCUGGAGACCUCGCUGCGCCGAAACGGGACCCAGAGGGGUUUGCGUUGGUUGGCGCGGCAGCUGGUGGACAUUCGCGAGCCGGAGACCCAGCCCGUCUGCUUCUUCCGCUGCGCGCGGCGCACACUACAGAGCGACCAGAUCGCGUAGAGCUGAUGCCGCUGCCUCCCUGGCAGCCGGUGGGCGAGAACUUCACCCUGAGCUGUAGGGUCCCCGGCGCCGGGCCCCGUGCGAGCCUCACGCUGACCCUGCUGCGGGGCGCCCAGGAGCUGAUCCGCCGCAGCUUCGCCGGCGAACCACCCCGAGCGCGGGGCGCGGUGCUCACAGCCACGGUACUGGCUCGGAGAGAGGA